CGGGUGAGUAACACGUGGGUGACCUGCCCUGGAGUGGGGAAUAACGCUGGGAAACCAGCGCUAAUACCGCAUACGCUUAGUGCUUCACGCAUUAAGUAAAGCCUUGUGCGCUUCAGGAGGGGCCUGCGCCCGAUUAGCUAGUCGGUGGGGUAAUGGCCUACCGAGGCUCCGAUCGGUAGCUGGUCUGAGAGGAUGACCAGCCACACUGGGACUGAGACACGGCCCAG
rnacentral:rRNA from 1 species